AACAAACAGAAUUGUUUGAUUUAUUUACUUUCCACAACAUUGACAAUUAAAAUUUAAUUUGAUACUUUUCCAGUAUAUUGACAUUAUAUAGGUUCAGAUUUGACUACCAUUACCAUUACUGUCGUUCCAAUUGAAGUGUUCCUCAAAUAUUGAUUCAAUACAUUACAUCGGGCUGACCAAUUCAUUUCAUCAAGUUCCUCGAAAUAUUCAUACACUUCCUAGUAUAAUUGUAAACUUCCUGUUGAAUAGUUUGAAUGCACCAAUCACCUUUGUUGUUUGUGCAACUAACCAAUCAUAAAUAGAAAGGAACAGGGGCGGCGGAACAGGGGGGCUAAAGCCCCCCCAGAAAAUUUGAAUUUUUUGAAAAAAAUUUUGAUAAUUAGGGAAAAAUUUAGGUUAUUUUUUGAAAAUUUAGGUAUAAGGGGGAAAAUUUGCAAUAUUUUGUUUAAAAAAAGUUAUUUCCGAAAAAAAUUUUUGACAUUGGAAUUGGCUCUUUCACAGGAAGUGUAUGAAUAUCUCGAGGAACUUGAUGAAAUGAAUUGGUCAGCCCGAGGUAAUGUAUUGAAUCAAUAUUUGAGGAACACUUCAAUUGGAACGACACUAAGGGACCAUCAACCAAUCAAAUGCAUUUGAUAUAUUCGAUCAACCAAUGUGAGUUUAUUCAUAAACUAAUUAUAAAUCAACUUCCAUGCAAUGCUUUAUGCAAUCAUCUAGUUAUGCACCAGUCAAUGCAAAUCCCUGCCCCCAACCGGGGAGAGCGGAAG